rnacentral:pre_miRNA from 1 species
ACACAGGGGCGUGAUCCAAAGUCCACUGAAUACAGUGGGAGUCUUUGUAAUGACUUCAGUGGGCUUUGGAUCCGGCCCAAAGAGU